rnacentral:lncRNA from 1 species
GUUUUCAAAGCUGCAUGAGGAGGAACUCUCUCCUGUGUCAAUGGAAAUACAGGAAGGCAAGCUGUCUGCAUGCUACCUGCUUUCCAAGAUAACAUUUUAUUAUAGGUUACCAUGACUCCUGAGCUGGCAUCACAUCCAGUAAAGAUGUUUGUGGUGCUUUUCAGAAAGUCAGCUGGAAGGAGCUGCUGAUGGAAGAGCCACCACAGCCAGGGUCAUCUCACCAAGCAGCUCCAUGAGAAGGAAGAGGGAAGAGGAGGAGGAGAGGGGGGAGUCAGCUGGGAAAAGUUUUGCAAAACAGCACCGUGGAGAAGCUGGGAUGGGGAAAAAUGGCGAGUGCUGUUGGGAAAACCUGGCUGGACUCAGUGCUUUAGCCCUCUACUUACACGUGUAUCAUGGAAGGGAAAAACAACGAUCUCCAUUUGGAUUUAGCUCUCCUUUUGCUCCUCUUACACCACUUCAGAAGUGUUUCACCAUCAACCUCCUCAGGGGGCUGCUCCAGGACUCCGAAGAGGAGCUUUGGGAAGAGCUUGACCUGUCCUCUGAGCUCCUUCCAGCCAAGGAGAGCAAGAUCUCAGCUGCUCCACCGCUCUGUGAAAGACUCUCACUCCUUUCCUUAGUGCAAAUUGUGACGCACUGCUGAUGGUGGGGUCUCCCUGGGCACAAAGAAAUGAUAGGAACUCACUGGGACCCAGCUCCCUUCACUUUGGAGAUCACACAGCUCUCACAAGGGCCUCUGCAAAAACAAACAAACAAA